GCCUAAUACCGCAUAAUGUGCCGGGAGGCAUCCUCCUGGUACCAAAGCUUAAUGUGCUGAAAGAUGGUCUCGCGUCUGAUUAGCUAGAUGGCGGGGUAACGGCCCACCAUGGCGACGAUCAGUAGCCGGUCUGACGAGGAUGAACGGCCACAUUGGGACCUGAGAUACGGCCCAGACUCCUACGGGAGGCAGCAGUGAGGAAUAUUGGGCAAUGGGCGCAAGCCUGACCCAGCAAUGCCGCGUGAAGGAAGACGGUUUUCGGAUUGUAAACUUCUUUAAGAGGGACGAUAAUGACGGUACCUCUUGAAUAAGCCACGGCUAACUACGUG
rnacentral:rRNA from 1 species